ensembl:lncRNA
CUAUGGGUCCAUAUAUGUCCCUAUGUGUCCCUAUGUAUCCCUACAUGUCCCUAUGGUCCCUACGUGUCCCUAUGGUCCCUGUGUGUCCCUAUGGGUCCCUAUGUCCCUCUAUGGGUCCCUACAUGUCCCUAUGGUCCCUAUGUGUCCCUAUGGUCCCUAUGUGUCCCUAUGUCCCUCUAUGUGUCCCUAUGGUCCCUAUGUGUCCCUAUGUGUCCCUAUGGUCCCUAUGUCCCUCUAUGGGUCCCUAUGGGUCCAUAUAUUCCCUAUGGUCCCUAUGGUCCCUACAUGUCCCUAUGUGUCCCUAUGUGUCCCUAUGGGUCCCUAUGGUCCCUAUGUGUCCCUAUGUGUCCCUAUGUGUCCCUAUGGGUCCCUAUGUGUCCCUAUGGGUCCCUAUGGUCCCUAUGGUCCCUAUGAGUCCCUAUGUCCCUCUACAUGUCCCUACAUGUCCCUAUGUGUCCCUAUGUGUCCCUAUGGGUCCCUAUGGUCCCUAUGUGUCCCUAUGUGUCCCUAUGUCCCUGUAUGUGUCCCUAUGUGUCCCUAUGGUCCCUAUGUGUCCCUAUGGUCCCUAUGAGUCCCUAUGUCCCUCUAUGUGUCCCUAUGUGUCCAUAUAUGUCCCUAUGUGUCCCUGUGGUCCCUAUGUGUCCCUAU